GUUGAUCAGGCCGGGUCAACUCUCGAACAAAGUUUGGUUAUACCUACGGGGGCUAGACCUGUGGUGUCAUCAUCCAUACGGUUCUACCGUCUGGUAGUUGUAGCAAUAUUAUUAUCAUUAGUAGCUCACGCCUGACAUAAUAUUUUGAUAAAUCUAAUACAUUUUUAGAUUUAAAUAUGACUUUAAUAACUGAAUAAAUACUUUUCUUCUACAAAAAUAUAGAGAGACACUCUCGUUGAAUAUUGUUUUAGUAACGCAUGGGUAAGAUUUUCUAAACGAAGUGUGGCAACCCCAAACACUUAAUAAAAAAUAAAAAUGUUAUAAAAUGAAAAUGGCGUCAUUUCACCAAAUAUCUUAAAACACAAAUUCACGAAUAAUAAAAUAAAUGUUUGCCACGGCCUGUUAAUAUUUAUGAAGACCUCUUCAUGGAUUGGAUUUAAGCAACCUGCUGUGUAAUAUCCUCGCCAUUCUUGAUGUUGAGAAGAUCUAUAAGUCUUUUACGUUUCAUCUAAGUGUUGUGGUUUUUCAUUAUGUUAAAAAUAAGACUUUGUUAGUUCAAGUGUCUCUAUAACUAUGAAGAAGAACAAAAGAAAAUGCUUGGAGUGUGGUUCUUCGCCUGCCGAUGAUCCAGAGAAGACCCUACAGAGAUUACCGAAACUUGAUUCUACAAAUUUAGUCUCCGAAGUUCAGUACCAACAAACUCACAAAAAAUGAGCCCAAAUUUAGCAUUACUUGCAAGCCAGACUAAGAAAUUUCAAGAAGAUAAUUUAAAAGAAGACAAUAGAAUAAAAUAAUAUUAACACACAAUGCUUAGCAAAUAUAGCAUUAACAGAUGGAAACCAGGCAAUAGGUGUAACAAAAUAGAAGAUGAAGGUCUAGCUGUGCCAGUGCUGAGCCACACAGUUGCUACUGGCAUGUUUGCAAAAUAGCACAAGGUGUAGCAAAAUAGAAGAUGAAGGUCUAGCUGUGCCAGUGCUGAGCCACACAGUUGCUACUGGCAUGUUUGCAAAAUAGCAGAAGGUGUAGCAAAAUAGAAGAUGAAGGUCUAGCUGUGCCAGUCAGUGCUGAGCCACACAGUUGCUGCUGGCAUGCUUGCAAAAUAGCACAAGGUGUAGCAAAAUAGAAGAUGAAGGUCUAGCUGUGCCAGUCAGUGCUGAGCCACACAGUUGCUGCUGGCAUGCUUGCAAAAUAGCACAAGGUGUAGCAAAAUAGAAGAUGAAGGUCUAGCUGUGCCAGUCAGUGCUGAGCCACACAGUUGCUGCUGGCAUGUUUGCAAAAUAGCACAAGGUAACCUGCUUCAUCAUCAUUAUCAGCCUAUUUUAACGACACUACAGAGCCAGACCUUAUAGAAAAGGGGUUAUGGAGCUUAGACCCACCACACUGCUACAAUAAAGGUUGGUGAGCUAAGGGUGAUAAAGUGAAAUUCAUUGUGGAUCACUAUCAGAUGUUAAUGAUAAUGACCUGGACGAGGCACGGGAGUGUAAUACAAACAACUUACCAACUCCAGGCUGAGAACUGUAAAUUUCUUGGAAGAAAGAAAAACUCAGUAUCUGAUAGCCUGACCCAGGAUUCGAAGCCACGACCUCGUUAUCCAAAACCACAUUGGCUAACCAAUAUUAUAAUACUAGCGGACGCCCGCGAUUUCAACCGUGUGAUGUUCAGUUUUUGAACAUCCAGCGGGAACCAUGUUU